rnacentral:rRNA from 1 species
GACAGAGGCCUCGAGCGUUAGGCGGAAUCAUUGGGCGUAAAGCGCGUGUAGGCGGCUUGGUAAGUCCGCUGUGAAAGUCCAGGGCUCAACCCUGGGAUGCCGGUGGAUACUGUCGGGCUCGAGUCCGGAAGAGGCGAGUGGAAUUCCUGGUGUAGCGGUGAAAUGCGCAGAUAUCAGGAGGAACACCAAUGGCGAAGGCAGCUCGCUGGGACGUGACUGACGCUGAGACGCGAAAGCGUGGGGAGCAAACAGG